UGAUCCACCCACCUGGGCCUCCCAAAGUGCUGGGAUUACAGGCGUGAGCCACUGUGCCUGGCCGAAUCCAGCUCUCUUCUAUUAAGAUAUUCUUUUUAUUCUAGUAAAGAGAAUUGCAAAAAUGUAAACAAAUGCCAGUCUUCAUGAAAGGUUUUUGGUUUGUAAAAAUAUAGCUAUUUUCAAAAAACUUAUUUAUGUUAAAAUGAAAUGUUUAUUUUUGUUAUUUUUUAAAAAGUUGAUACAUAAAUAAAAUUCUCAGUUGUAAUUUCUCAACAGGAUAGAGCUAACCCACAUAACAAAAGGUCUUUGCAGUCCUCAGUAAGUUUUACAAGUUUAAAGGGGUCCUGAGACCAAAACGUUUGAGGACCACUGUCCCUCCGGAAGGCUGCGGCUUUCUUCUGGUGGCUUUACACUUCUGCUGUCCUUCAGCCACGUCCCUUUCGCGUCUCCAGGGACUCCUCCAUUUGCCUUGAAUUUCUCCUGUUAGCUCCACUCCAGGGUGGCCACAUGAGGGCAGCCGAUUCCGCCCUGAGCCCUUGCGGGGGCCUCAAGCACAGGUGUUCACCAGGUCAGCCUUCAGCAUCCAGUUCCUACCGAGUCCCUGGCUGGUGGUACUGGAGAAGCAAAGACGAUAAACCAGGUCCUUGUUCUGUGGGAGGCUCAGGCCUCCUGUUCUCUCCCUCCCAGGGGCCAGGAGAGAGGCCCCAGCCAGAGCCUGAGCACAUCAUAGGGUUGACAUGUUUGGUGAAUGAACAUUAUCUCUGUGUUGUGCAGAGCUGAGCAUAGAACUCCAUCUUCUAGAUCCUGAACUUUAACCUGGAAGGGUUAGGCCUUCUUGCCAUUGCCUGCAGGGAGAGGUGAGCACCCUAGAACACUUACUGUUCGGGAGCACGUGGUUCUCAUGCAGUAAAGUGAGAAGGGGAGAGGAGGCACCUUUUCUCUAGUCUUGGAUUAAGGUGGAAGUAAAGGGCAUAUGUGAAGUUUUUCCCAAAACUAAGGCCUCAUUUAUUUUUUAUUUUUUAUCAGAACAAGUCAUGGACAUCUCUAGCAAUGAAAGCAAAGCCCUGCAGUCAUUUAACAUAGACAUACUCUCUACAUCCUGUUAGCCAGCGGCUCCUACGACUUCUCCCAACAAUCUUAAAGCAACCUGGCAUGAAGGAGCUGGCUCAAAUGCUGGUCAGUGGAAAGGGCAUAAGCUCUGAAGUCACAACACAAGGGUUCAAAUCCGACCCUCCCGGCUCCUGGUCUGUGCUCUCUCCCCCUUACUGUAAUGCCAACUUCACUUUGGUUUUUACCCCUGCAAAUAUUCAUCAUUGUGUUGAGUCAACACAAUGAUACAUAAAAAAUCAGCAGUCUCUGAUAAAGUGUGGCCUACUGGUUAAGAGGAGCAGGGCUUUGAAAGGAUAGCCAAGGUAACACUCCUGGUUCCACCAUGUGUUAGCUGUGUAACCUCGGGCAAGCUGCUUAACCUCUCUGAGUCUCAAUUUUCUCAACUGUAGAAAGCAGACAUAAUAUUACAGGGUUGCUGAGAGAAUAAUAUGACAUUAGGUUUCUAAAGUGCUUAAUUCAGUACCUGGCUCAUAGUAAGUGCUCAAUAAACACCAGUUAUAAACAUCACUGCAUUUGAAAUUCACAGCUUUUUCAAAGUUAGAGUCAGAAAGAAUUUCAGAAGUCCUGUAAUUCAAUGUUUUCCAAAGUGUGUUCAAAACACUCACUUCCCUCAAGAUGCUCCAUGAAAAAGGGUUCUGUGGCCAAAUAUGAUGGGUUGUAUAUUAAAGCCUCAGAGAAGCCACAGAGUAAAGAAACCUGUUGAACUUUGAUUACUCCAACCUUUAUCAAAUGGAUUUGACUGUAGAACCCUCUUCACACAUCACUUUUUAACUUCCAGGUUGCUGGUAGACAGAGCUCAGUCAUUAACCAUCAUUAAGAAUCAUAACAAAUACUGGAUAACAUUUAUGGAGGGUUUGCUCUAUGCCAGGCACUGUGAUAUGCACAAGGCAUGUAUUAUCUCACUUUAUUCAUAACAACACUAAGAAGUAGUGCUAUCAUCUUUUACGGAUGAAAAAAUAGGCUUAGAAGACUAAGUAACUUGGCCAAGGUCACAUACCAAGAAAUCGUCAGCAUGCAAACUCAGGUUGGCCUGGCUCUGGAAUUCAGCCUUGCCACCUCCCUGUAUGGUUUCCGCAGCCCACUGCAUUACCCCUGACUGUUGGACAGUCCUUCCUUGUAUUGAGCUGAAAUCCAAUUCCAGUUCCAAUCACACUGUUUCUCCAGGGUGCACAUAAAUAUAUGGUGAAAUGUAUUAUUUAGUUUCAAUUCUAAAUAUCCUUUAUUUGUCAUUGUUUCUCGAAUUGUAUUUAUUCUGUUCCCUUUUCUCUUGACUUGCUCAAGUACUUCAGCAUUUCAUUUGGACUAAAAAACUCAACACAAUUCUGUCUGCUUUCUUAUAGUAUGAUAUUUUCAUUUUUAGGAAGUGACACAUUAUCAAAACCCAUAAGAACUAAAUUUUUUUAAGAGGGGGAAAAAGACAAGGUCAGGAGGCUGAGGUGGGAGGAUCGCUUGAGCCCAGGAGUUCGAGACCAGCCUGGGCAACAGAGUGAGACCCUGUCUCUACAAACACCACCACCACCAACAAAAAAAAAAUUAGUUGGGCAUGGUGGCACAUGCCUGUGGCACAUGCCUACUCAGGAGCCUGAGGUGGGAGAGUCACUUGAGCCCAAGAGGUCGAGGCUAUUAGUGAGCCAUGAUCACACCACUGCACUCCAGCCUGGGCAACAGAGCAAGACCCCAUCAAAAAAGAAAGUUUUAGAUGUAUACAAUAACUAAGUUAUUUUCCCUGCAGGAAUUUUGAUAACAAAGUUGUCUUUUAUAGCUCUAGUAGUAUUGCUGUAAAGCUAUAAAAGUACCUCUGGCUUUUGCCCAAGUGUAGUAGUGUCUGUCUCUCUCUCUGUCUCUCCAUAGCAGCACAUUGUUAACUGUUUCUUACCAGUAGCACUACUUUCAUUACUUUUAUGACUCAUUGUCUCCCUUAUUUAGUAAACAAAGUAUACAGCCACUAAAAGCAAGUAGCUGGGCUAUUCACAGCAGCUUCUCCCCCAUACACUGUGGUAGUUCCUAACUACAAUCUGUUUGUGUCCAAUAGCAGUUCCUAGUGAUGCAAAUAGUACUUUCCAUUUAAACAAUUUCAUUAUAGCCAAUUCUAGUUCUGAAAAUACCACUGGAAGAAAAACACUUGAGUUCUCAGUAUGGUUUGACCAAUAUAGCUUGGAACUAUCACUUUCCUUGUUCUGAACAUUAUACUUCACUAGUUCAGCUCGAGAUCUCAUUAUUUUGGGUAACUGCAUUACCCUAUACCUGCUUGUGGAGUUUGUCUCCAACCAAUUAAUUUUCCCCUACAAUUCUGCUAUACAUCAGCAGUUGUAUUUUGGAGCCCACGUGAAAGGAAACUAUACUUACAUCUGUUCCAGUUCAUCUGUUUAGGUCUGGCUCGUUGUUCAGCCUGUGACAAUCAUCUGGGAGUGGCGAUCAUUCUCCUUCAGCCCAUGUCCUCUGUGAAACUGAUAAACCUGCCCUAGAGCAGCACUUUCCAACAGAAUGUUCUGUGAACAUGGAAAUAUACCAGAUCUAUGCUGUCCAAUAUGGUAGCCACUAGCCACAUGCAGGUUUUGAGCACUUGAAAUUAGGCUCAUGCAACUGGGAACUUAAUUUUAAAUUGUCUUUAAUUUUAAUUAAUUUAAAUAAUCCCAUAUGGCUAAUAGAUAUCAUACUGGACAGUGUCGUAGCUCUAGAUGUUUACCUGAAAUGCAGGUAAAAAUAUUAAGUAGAACAGGGACCUGCUUCUGUCCCUGGAGUCCAAACUCUGGACUGGGGAUGGCCAUUCAAGGAUUAUCAACCACCUGUGUUUAUAAUAACUCGGUGCACAAUUUUAUCCACCAGCGUAUAUGAGUAUCAGUGAAGGACUUUGUCAAAUGCCUUGUAAAAAGCAAGAUGGCCUAGAAAUAUGUGGCACUGCCCUGCUCUACCAGCCUCAUGAUUUUUUUUUCCUAGAAAAUAGGGUGUGUUUUUUUUUCUAUUUGUAGAAGUCAUACAUACCUACUGUGGCAAAAUGCAGGAAAGUACCUAGAGGAAAUUAACAAUGACCAAAAUUCUGCCAUCUUGAGAUAACUACUGUUAACAUUUCAGCAUUUUUCUUUCAGCUUUUUUUCUGUGUUGGUAUUUUUCACAUCACUGAAAUCAUACCUUCUCUGUUACCUCCUGUUUUUUUUAAUUUAAAAAAAUUAAAAAAAAUUUAAUCGACAAAAAUAUAUAUGUUUAUCAUGUACAACAUGCUGUUACACUGUGGAAUGGCUAAAUCAAGUUAAUAAGCACACACAUUACUUCACAUAUAUAUCAUUUUUUUGUAGUAAGGACACUUAAAACCUACUCAGCAAUUUUCAGUACAAUAAAUUGUUAUUAACUGUAGUUACAUAAACCAAAAAUAAAAUUCUAAGGCCCUGCAACCAUCUGAAAGGAUCCCUCCUCCUGGCUAGGGCAUUCCAAAGUUAGCCUAAAAACUGGUUCAGGCCAUGAUGGGAAAGGAGGGUCGGACAUGCCUCAUUAUACUCUUCUGCCUUUGGGAUUUCAGGAAAAGCUGACGAGCAUUUAACAUCAACACAGGACCUUAAGUCCGCUAAGAAACAUUUACAAUCUCUUCUCUGUGAAGCUUGCAACCUGAAGGCUUCACCUGCAUGAUCAAACUUUGGUCUCCACAACCCCUUAUCAUAAUCCAGACAUUCCUUUCUAUUCAUAAUAACUCUUUCAACCAAUUGCCAAUCAAAAGUUUUAAAUCUACAUAGAACCUAGAAUUCCCCUCACUUCAAAUUGUCCCACCUUUCUGGACUGAAGCAAUGUAUAUCUUACAUUUUUAUGUCUCAUGUCUCUAAAAUGUAUAAAGAAGGUUGUGCCCCGACCACCCUGGGGACAUGUUCUGAGGGUCUCCUGAGGGCUGUGUCUUGGGUCAUUGGUCACUCAUAUUUGGCUCAGGAUAAAUCUCUUCAAAUAUUUUACAGAGUCUGACUCUUUUUGUCCACAACACCAUGUGGUACAAUAGAUCUCUUGAACUCAUCCCGCUUAUCUAACUGAAAUCUUGUAUCCUUUUACUAACACCUUUCCAACCCUUGCCUCCCAGUCCCUGGCACCCACCACUCUGCACUCCGCUUCUACGAAUUUAAUGUGUUUUCUCGUUUGUUUGUUUUUUGUUUUUUUUCUGAGAUGGCGUCUCACUCUUGUUGCCCAGGCUGGAGUGCAAUGGUGCGAUUUGGCUCACUGUGGCCUCUGCCUCCCGGGUUCAAGCGAUUCUCCUGCCUCAGCCUCCCAUACCAGUUCAACUUUUUCAGAUUCCACGUGCACACAGCUGGGGGACAUCUCCCAGACUCCCCUGCAGCCAGCUGUGGCUAUGUCAUUGAGGGCCAGCCAGUGAAGCGUGGGCAGAAGUGAUGUGUGCCUCUGCCGGCCUGGCCAUUAAGACCCCCGCAUGGAGUGGAGACGACACCCAGGGCGACCUUGGAAGUGGCAUGAUGAAGAGACCAGAGCUUUUGUGGAGCAGUAGUGCGGAGGAGGAGCACCUGCUGAACCACUCACUCCCCGACAGUUGUGUUGGAUUGUGGACCUGUUUUCUCUUUGCCCACUCUGGGCUCAUUUGCAAUUAUAACCUCGUUGCUUCUGCUUGAGCUAUCUUUCCUUUGUCUUGGAUCAUGGGAUCAAGCAUGCGUAAUUUUUCUCCAAAUACCUUGGGAUUCUUCUUCCUAACUCUUGGUACAGAGUCCAGCUGUCCCAGGCUCCUGGAUGACAGGGAGCUUUCUCUCACUCUCAUCUGACCAACAGGUUCCCCUAGCGGUACAUAAUUAGAUCCAAAAUGGUGCUUCUCUUUAUCAUUUUCUCUGCUUUCUGAGAAAUGGAAUUGUCAUUUUGGCAAGAAUUUGGCAGAAAUUGUAUUUCAGAUUUUAAUACAAUUGAGAAAAAACCAUUCAUAACCACAGUUGUCUGGUACGUAAUGAAGGUAGAUCUUGCCGAAUGGAACAUCCUUCUCUGCAACUUGGUGGGUUUGAAUGGCUGAGUUUGGCAGAAGGAAUGGUAGAGAAAUAGAUGACUCUACAGAAUAAAUGGGGAAGGAUUUGGAGUUCUGGAAGCAAUAUAAAAGGGAAGGGGUAAAGAGGAGAGAUGGGAAGAUGAGGAGCCAGCUGGAUCACUCUGUAAGGGGAGCUAGCCUAAAAUCCUAAUGGGACCGGAUGGCUCAAGAGCUUUUGAGAACACUGGUGUCCAAUAUUUCAUUUGAAGUUGUUGAGUAGAUCUCCUCCACUCCCCUGAGGGGUUGGUGCCAGGCUGGACAGGGACAGCACACAGAUGGUGAGACAGCCCACAAGCUGAAUUCUCCACUUGCAGAGGCUGAGAACCAGCGAUGACUGUAAAUGUGAGUCUCUGCCCGCCUUCUGCCCUGGCCUCCCUCCUGAGAACUGGCCAGACUUUUGAGGAGGAAUUUAGACUUCCAAAGGGUGGAGAAUAGAAGUUUCAUCCAGUCUUAUCUAGGGAAGCUCCCGCUGACAUCCAAAUUACAUAAUAAACACGGCCAGUAAAAUACUACUGCUACUACUAUCAUAAAAUAAAAUAAGGAAUUAAGUAGAUAGGUCAGGAAUUUGGCCCCUUAAAACACUGAGGCCAGAGAGAUUACACAGUGUGCCUCAGGGAUGUUUUGCUCUGUUCUCAGGUUAUCUGGCUCCUAUUCCUUGUGUCCUCAGUCCUUGCCUGGGAAGAGAGUGCAGUGAGCAGGGUAGCUCCUCACCCCCUCUCCUCAGGUACCAGGUGCUCCUGGGCCCUCAAGGGCUCAGCUCUUCCCUCCGCAGCUCCUGCAGGGGCUGUUGGGUUUAUCAGAGACUGGUUCUGUCAAAGAGCUGAGCUCAGGGGAACAUUUUGGGGGAGUGAGGUUCCUACCACCUUGGAGAUAGCUUUUUCCAAACAAGGGGAAGCAUUUGAGAAAUAUGUUCAUUAGUAAGUUCGUCAGUGGUCAUAAAGAUAUUUUGUCUGAUGGCAGAAGGCCUGAAUCUUUGUUCCCAUAAAAGACUUACUCCUCUAACCAGAAGAAUAAACGAAAGGUGGUGAGACACUGGGGACAUCUGGGCAGCCAUGGAGAAAGAGUUUGUGGAUCUGACCCACUGUUCUCCUCUUGUCCAGAUAAGGACGUGUGUUUGUGUGUUGACUGGUGAGGACAGGAGGAGGUUUCCUGAGUGCAGAGUGCCAAAGCACAAAGCCUGAGAUAAAAAGGCAUAAAUAGACCUAGAGCCUGACCCAGAGCCAGGCCCAGUGUCCUUGGGCUGGUAGGACUUGCAGGCCAGGUCCCAGAUGGGGAGGGGGUACUGGGGCUGAGCAGCUGCUAUGGAAAUUUCCAUGGGCUGUACACCAGCUCUUGGUAAGCUCUUGCACUCAGCAUGGCAUGGGGAGGACAUGGGUUAUGAAAGAGGCACAAGACUUAGUCCAAGCUUAUAAGGAGCUAGGCCUCUAGAGAAAAAACUCAGGCUUGCCAAAGCAGCAAGUAAACAAACAGGUUGGAAAAUUUUGAAACAAAGUUGUAAAUAAGGUCAAGGCAUGGAACCAGUCAAGAAAAGUCAAUAUCGUAUUCCAGUUAUUAGAACCUCAUUUCACCUUCUAAGGACAAUGUUGAAAAUACAAACUUCACAUUAAGAUAAAAAUGGGUUUUAUUACUUUAAAUACUAAUAAAGAGGUGACAAUAUAUUAGUUUUUUAAAGAAAAAACUUUUUAUAAUUAAUUGCCACUUGCCAGAGUUUGAGAUUUUCUUAAGAAUUCAGGUUAAACUUACAAAAUCAUUUUUAAUACAGAAAUCAAUGAAAAAUGAUCCAAAGACAUUAGUUUCAUGCAUUGGUAAUCGUUACCAAAAGCCUUACAGUGUGCAAUUUUGUAAAGUCAAUGUUGCAACUAUCCCAGGAAUUGGAGGUCUGUGUUUUUCCCCUCUCUAGUAAGAUUCAGGUCGUGUGUGUGUGUGUGUACAAGUGUGUUCACACGUGUGCAUGUGCAAUGUAUGAACCCACAAUGCUGACCAUAAUGCUGGACUCCCAAUGCACUGGUUAGGAUGCCUUUGCUUGUAUUUAAAGAAGCCAUGAAGAGGACAUAUUAGUUCACAUGGCUGAAAAGUUAAGUGUUAGGGCAGCCUUCUAAUAAGCUUUAAUCAGGGCUCCAGUUCCAUUUCUAAUUCUGUCUGCCUUGCCCUGUUGUGGCCAGAUUCCUUUUCGGGCUGGCUUAUUCACAGUUGCAAGAUGUCUGUGAACAGCAACUCAGCCAACAACAACUCGUCUAAGGAGAGAGGAGCUAUUGUUUCCUACAGCCGUUGCAUAGAAGUCCUGAGCUUCCUUCUGAUUGGACCACCCCAGGACCAGUCAUUGAGGGCGUGCCAUGUGCUGACUGGCUGAGAUUCAAAAACCUAUCAUCUUGUCAAGUGGAUUGGGAUUGACUUAUAUCGGGGGCAUGAUAUGGUUUGGUUGUGUCCCCACCCAAAUCUCAUCUUGAGUUGUAGCUCCCAUCCCACGUGUCAUGGGAGGGAACUGGUGGGAGGUAAUUGAAUCAUGGAGAGGGUCUUUUCCAUGCUGUUCUUGUGACAGUGAAUAAGUCUCAUGAGAGCUGAUGGUUUUAUAAACGGGAGUUCCUCUGCACAAACUCUCUUGCCUGCCACUGUGUAAGACAUGACUUUGCUCCUCAUUCUCCUUCUGCCAUGAUUGUGAGGCCUCCCACGCCGUGUGGAGCUGUGAAUCAAUUAAACCUCUUUCCUUUAUAAAUUA